GAUGAACGCUAGCGGCAGGCUUAAUACAUGCAAGUCGUGGGGCAGCAUGAAGUAGCAAUACUUUGAUGGCGACCGGCAAACGGGUGCGGAACACGUACACAACCUUCCUUUUAGUGGGGAAUAGCCCAGAGAAAUUUGGAUUAAUACCCCGUAACAUAGCGAUGUGGCAUCACAUUGCUAUUAUAGCUUCGGCGCUAGAUGAUGGGUGUGCGUAUGAUUAGAUAGUUGGCGAGGUAACGGCUCACCAAGUCUACGAUCAUUAGCUGAUUGGGAAGCAUGAUCAGCCACACGGGCACUGAGACACGGGCCCGACUCCUACGGGAGGCAGCAGUAAGGAAUAUUGGUCAAUGGACGAAAGUUUGAACCAGCCAUGCCGCGUGAAGGAUUAAGGUCCUCUGGAUUGUAAACUUCUUUUAUAUGGGACGAAAAAAGGUCUUUCUAGAUCACUUGACGGUACCAUAUGAAUAAGCACCGGCUAACUCCGUGCCAGCAGCCGCCGUAAUAC
rnacentral:rRNA from 1 species